rnacentral:lncRNA from 1 species
GGCGCCGGGGAGCCCAGGGCAUGGUGAGUGUCCUCUCCCAGAGCUGACAGAGCGGGGUGGGUCAGGGAGGCGGGUGAUGAGCCCCGGGGUCCCAGUAUCCCACACGGUUCCCUGAGCUGAGGGGCUGGGGACCUGCAGGCCGUGUGGUACACCCGGGGCAGGGGCCAUGUAGGCUCUGUCCUUGGGGGGCUGGCUUCGUGGGACGGCAUCGGGAUCUUCUUUGACUCUCCGGCAGAGGAUACUCAGGACAGUCCUGCCAUCCGUGUGCUGGCCAGCGACGGGCACAUCCCCUCUGAGCAGCCUGGGUAAGGGCCUGUCUGGACUGACCACUCACCUCCAUUUUUGCACUGGGAGGGGCCCAUCCCCCCCAUCCGAGCCCCUGCCCCAGCCUCCUCCAGCAGGGGGCCCACCCUGCCGGGCCGCCAUACUUGCUGGACUCUCUCACUUAGCCGACGUCCGCCCCCCUGGGGCUUGAUUCCUUCGACCCAGCAGCCCCAGGUGAAAUGACACAGGCUGGGGCCUGUGAUGAGUAUCUUUGCUCCCAUGAUCUCAUCCCAUCUCCAACACCCUCCAUAAGUGGGGGGUUAUUCGUCCCAUUUACAGGUCAGGACAUUGAGCCCAGAGAGGGGAAGGGAUGUGCCGUGCGCAGUGCUGAACUUUGAGCCCAGACUUACCCCUGGAGGGUCCUCGCCCUUCCCUGCAUAGCUGUCCCUUCCCUUUCCCCUGAUGAUUUGGCUUCUGUCCCUCCCCGGCCCUACUGCCUCCUCAGUAGCUGGGCCGGUUUGUCAGUGUCUCUCAGCAACCUUCUCUCGGCUCAUAACAAUUAGAGUAAUUGCCUGCAUUUAUGGAGUGAGCUGAUUGUAUGCCAGGCACAGCACCAAGCCCUUCUCAUUUACUGUCUUAGUUAACCCUCAUAACAUUGUUAUGAGGUCGUUCCAAUUACCAUCCUCGUUUUAGAGAUGGGAACACUGGGGUUUGGAGAGAUGAGAUGGCUUGCCCAAGGUCACAUAGCUCGGGGCACAAACCCAGGUGGCUGCUGUGGUGCUGGCUUCUCCCCUGCCCUGUGCUGCCUCCCUCUUGGCGGAAGGCGGCACUGUCAGACGCUCUGCUGUGAGUAGCCUGAGGUGUCCAGAGACACUCAGCGUUUAACACUCUUCUCCUGACUCCCCAGAGCCUGCCGAGCCGACCUGUCAGGGAGGCAGCCUGGUCACAUUGUCCUUGGCUGCCGGGACAUGUCCAGGUCAUCCGUCCUGAGUCAGCUGCAUUCUGAGCCCUGGCAGCUGGGAGAGGAAAAGGAAGCCAGAGGCACAGAGGACUUGGAGUUUAAAAGAAGGAGGAGGGAGAGGCCAGGCACAGUGGCUCACGCCUGUAAUCCCAGCAUUUUGGGAGGCUGAGGCGGGCUAAUCACCUGAGGUCAGGAGUUUGAGACCAGCCUGGCCAACAUGGUGAAACCCUGUCUCUACU